ACACAAUAUAUUGAUAGGGAGAUGAGAUGAGGCCUAAGUUUGCGCCCUGAGAUACGUCAUCGAUGAACUUCUGUUAUUAAUAGGUACCACACUAUCAUUACCGCACCAGACAUGAGGUUGGAAUUGUCUCUUCUUACAAUCAUCAUCGUGGACAAAGUUGUUCAAGUGUAUACCGAGGUCAAUGUGUUAUCCAUUAUCAGUAGAAAGAUAUAAAAACUAUAUACAUAAUACAGACUACUUAGAGCGUUUGACACAUCUAUUAAAUUAUGUCUAAUUUAAUUUGUUUUCUUUUCUUCUAUUACUCAUUUAGAAAAUACAAAAAUUUAAUUGAUUUUCUGACAUUAUAACUCGCAUGUAGCGACCGGUAAUGUAGUACAUAAUCGUAAAGAAAUCAAAUCAAUUACUAUCGCAUAGAACUUGUAUUCGAUUGAUGCAUGUUUAUAGUGUAAAAAAAGUACUGUAAAGGUUAUUAUGGAUUUGUGGUAGCAUUAUAAGAAGUAUGAAUGUAGCGUCAGUAUUUAGAUAUGGGCUUUAAACUUGGUGUAUAGGGUUAUAUAUUAUUAUAAAAGGGCAAAAUUAUUACUGUUAUAAUUAAAUACUUCAGCUGACUA